rnacentral:rRNA from 1 species
AAGUCGUAACAAGGUCUCCGUAGGUGAACCUGCGGAGGGAUCAUUACACAAUAACAAGGCGGGCUGGACACCCCCCGCUGGGCACUGCUUCACGGCGUGCGCGGCGGGGCCGGCCCUGCUGAAUUAUUCACCCGUGUCUUUUGCGUACUUCUUGUUUCCUGGGUGGGCUCGCCCGCCCUCAGGACCAACCACAAACCUUUUGCAAUAGCAAUCAGCGUCAGUAACAACGUAAUUAAUUACAACUUUCAACAACGGAUCUCUUGGUUCUGGCAUCGAUGAAGAACGCAGCGAAAUGCGGUACGUAGUGUGAAUUGCAGAAUUCAGUGAAUCAUCGAAUCUUUGAACGCACAUUGCGCCCUUUGGUAUUCCAAAGGGCAUGCCUGUUCGAGCGUCAUUUGUACCCUCAAGCUUUGCUUGGUGUUGGGCGUCUUUUGUCUCCAGUUCGCUGGAGACUCGCCUUAAAGUCAUUGGCAGCCGGCCUACUGGUUUCGGAGCGCAGCACAAGUCGCGCUCUUUGCCAGCCAAGGUCAGCGUCCAGCAAGCCUUUUUUUCAACCUUUGACCUCGGAUCAGGUAGGGAUACCCGCUGAACUUAA